GCAAACAGCAAUUCUUUAUGCAAUUUACAGACACUGGUUUAGCUUUUAGCAUAAAUCCUGAACUGUAAUUUAUGGAAGAAAAUAGUUUCCUUUAACUUUUGCUCAGCUGUUCACCAUUGGCAAGUACACAGAGCAACCUGAAGCUCUCUUCAUGUCUCAGAUAGGUUUUCAUGCAGAAGUUUUAGACCCAGUAGCACAGGAGUACAUUUCAUUUGGGGUGCUCGUACAACAGUAGACAGCAGCAAUUGUGGUGAAGUUCUAGUGUGCAAAUCCUGAACAGAUAUGAAUGCUCUUUUAUCAGCAACUCUUAUGAGGACAUGGAAGCUGCAGAGACUAAAGUCAUGAAAAGCAUCAGACAGAAGUUGACAAAGGUGGAUCCAGCACCAAAAUGCAAAAAAAGAACAGUAAGAAAGACUGGCAACACCACGAGGCAGAUUUUGUUAUAGUUUACAGAAACUAGAAGAGUGGAGGCACCAGGAGGAGGAGGCAGCAAAGAAGUCACAAUUAAGAGAAAGCAGUGCAAGAACCUAUUUGGCAGCAGCAGGAGGAUUAUCCCAGAAAGCUUCUGCAGUUCCAGAAGAGACACCUAGAGGAACGAGAAGGAGCAGGUGGUCUAUAGAAAGGCUAAUGCUCACUUCAGCUGCAGAUAAUGCAUCUGAAUGGAUGAUUACUGGUAAAGACAUAGACUUAGCCUGUUCGUCUGACAUGGAAUUUCUGUGACACUAAGUCCCAAACCUGCAGUAUCUCAGCUGCUUCCGCUCUCUUAAAUAGAUAAGGUAACAAUAGUCCUCUCUUCCACAGUCCCUGCAGCCUGAAGAGAAACUCCACAGCCUAGCUACAAUGCAACUGUGCAAGAUAUUAGCAAUAAUAAUGCAUGCUACAGCUGUUCAUUUCUUGAUGUUUUCAUUAUGUAUUUUCUCUGAAAGCCCAAGUCCCAGUAGCUAUACAGUUUAAAAGAGAUUCUACUUCUAACAAAGCAGCAGAGGAAGGCUUGAAAACCUAAAUACCAAGCAGAUUUUAAAAAAAAUGCAAUUUAAGACAAACUCAUGUGUUUGAGAAAAUACUAAAUACUUGUAAUAUCAGUAUUAUAACAGUAUUUUCUUUCUGUUAUCGAUAAAAACCCUUGCUAAAUAGGAAGUAUGUAAGCAACUAAUAGUUGUUGGUAAUCUGUUUCUAAGAGGCAGAAAAAAAGACAGAAAGAAGGAGAAAUGUGGUUAGAGAAGGAACACCAGGAGCUGGUGGAGAUAACAGAACAACACCUGGAGUAUGAAAGAAGAAAUGGAGAAGACAAGAUAUGCGGCUGAGGAACCGAUGAAGAAAGAGGAAUAUGCUCAACUAGCUCUGGAGGAAACCAGAACACAAGCACAGCUUUUAAUCAGGUAUGUAGCUAUUAAAAAGUGAAAUUAUAUUUUUCCUCAGUAAUAACAACACAUCUUUACACCUAGUGCCAAAACUAUACAAAAAUACU